rnacentral:rRNA from 1 species
UGGGGGAUAUUGCACAAUGGGCGAAAGCCUGAUGCAGCGACGCCGCGUGGGGGAUGAAGGCUUUCGGGUUGUAAACCUCUUUCGCUAUCGAACAAGGCCCGCUUAGGGUGGGUUGAGGGUAGGUGGAGAAGAAGCGCCGGCUAACUACGUGCCAGCAGCCGCGGUAAUACGUAGGGCGCGAGCGUUGUCCGGAAUUAUUGGGCGUAAAGGGCUUGUAGGCGGCUUGUUGCGCCUGCUGUGAAAACGCGGGGCUUAACUUCGCGCGUGCAGUGGGUACGGGCAGGCUUGAGUGUGGUAGGGGUGACUGGAAUUCCAGGUGUAGCGGUGGAAUGCGCAGAUAUCUGGAGGAACACAGAUGGCGAAGGGAGGUCACUGGGCCAUUACUGACGCUGAGGAGCGAAAGCAUGGGUAGCGAACAGG